GGAGGAGUCGCAUAGUGGCCAAUUGCACGUGCUUGGAAAGCACGAGUCCGCAAGGGCUCCGUGGGUUCGAAUCCCACCUCCUCCG
rfam:Candidatus Pacebacteria bacterium RIFCSPHIGHO2_01_FTLL_46_10 rifcsphigho2_01_scaffold_18832, whole genome shotgun sequence.